GGCCAGAUACAGGAAAAGGAUAAUGCCAAGUUCAGCUUGGGAUAGAAUGUGAAGUUAAGUUGUAAAGUAUGUUGAAGAAUAGUAUUGUCAUGUGUUAGACAGUUCACGAUUGUGUAUUAGUUAAGGUUACUCGAUUUUGGGAAUAAUGUGUAAAGUUUAAUGUAUAAACAAUCUAUGUUUAUAUCUUCCGCAAACAGUUGUAGAAUGAUUGAACCGGAUCCGCGGCGAUUCAGGACCCAGAUCUGGGGAUGCUACAAAAAUUAUAACAAACGCCUCA
rnacentral:lncRNA from 1 species